rnacentral:rRNA from 1 species
GAUGAACGCUGGCGGCGUGCUUAACACAUGCAAGUCGAGCGAAGCACUAAAGCGGAUUUCUUCGGAUUGAAGGUUUAGUGACUGAGCGGCGGACGGGUGAGUAACGCGUGGGUAACCUGCCUCAUACAGGGGGAUAACAGUUGGAAACGGCUGCUAAUACCGCAUAAGCGCACAGUACCGCAUGGUACGGUGUGAAAAACUCCGGUGGUAUGAGAUGGACCCGCGUCUGAUUAGGUAGUUGGUGGGGUAACGGCCUACCAAGCCGACGAUCAGUAGCCGACCUGAGAGGGUGACCGGCCACAUUGGGACUGAGACACGGCCCAAACUCCUACGGGAGGCAGCAGUGGGGAAUAUUGCACAAUGGGGGAAACCCUGAUGCAGCGACGCCGCGUGAGCGAAGAAGUAUUUCGGUAUGUAAAGCUCUAUCAGCAGGGAAGAAAAUGACGGUACCUGACUAKAGCCCCCGYUAUCUC